rnacentral:tRNA from 1 species
AAUGAAAUGCCUGAUAAAAGGAUUAUUUUGAUAGAAUAAAUUAUAUAAAUAAAAUUAUUUUCAUUA